UUUUUUUUCUUCUUUUGCAGCAGUGAAUGUUCUUGGACCUGCUGAUCUACUAUAUAUAUUGUCUUAAAAAAAUAUUUUGCCCUAUUUAUUUAUGGACUGUCUUACAUUAACAUUAUUUCAUGUCAUGCCACUUGAUAUUUCACUUUUUAAGGGAAUAGGUCAUGGAAAAAAAAUAUUUUUUUAAUUGAUUUAGUAUACGUUAAAGUUUUAAAGGGUCACUCCAAGUAUCAUAACAUAUACAGCCCCCUGUAGCAGUUAUAUUGCCAGAGGUAUACUGGGUAUAUGGGUAAUGAGGCCAACUGUUU